rnacentral:rRNA from 1 species
CCUACGGGAGGCAGCAGUGGGGAAUAUUCCACAAUGGGGGAAACCCUGAUGCAGCGACGCCGCGUGAGUGAAGAAGUCCUUCGGUAUGUAAAGCUCUAUCAGCAGGGAAGAAAAUUACGGUACCUGAUUAAUAAGCCACGGCUAACUCCGUGCCAGCAGCCGCGGUAAUACGUAGGGGGCAAGCGCUAUCCGGAUAUACUGGGGGGAACGGGGGCGUAGACGGCAGCACAAGUCCGGGAUGAAAUGCCCGGGCUUAACCCCGGAUCUGGUUUGGAAACUGUGCAGCUAGAGUGCAGGAGAGGUAAGUGGAAUUCCUAGUGUAGCGGUGAAAUGCGUAGAUAUUAGGAGGAACACCAGUGGCGAAGGCGGCUUACUGGACUGUAACUGACGUUGAGGCUCGAAAGCGUGGGGAGCAAACAGGAUUAGAUACCCGGGUAGUC